CCACGGCGUCAGCAUAGCCAUUAGGAGUCACUGCCACGCUGAUCAUCUUUGACCCGAUCUUCUCCCUGCGGACAGUAAGAUGAACCUUCAGUGUUUUCUGAGCUAAAGGAGGAUGUUCAUCUCAACAUGCGGAGAAUUCAAA